GCAAACUUGGUCAUUUAGAGGAAGUAAAAGUCGUAACAAGGUUUCCGUAGGUGAACCUGCGGAAGGAUCAUUACCAGGAAAAUCGACGUCCUUUCGAGGUCGUCGGUCCUCCAACCUUUGUGUAUCUUACCUUUUCAACGUUGCCUCGGCGGGCCUGGCCCAUCGCGGUCCCUCCCACCCGGCCUCAGCGCCGGAGGGGGGAGCUGCCCGCCGCAGGAACAAACCAAAACCUCUUUGUAUGACGAACGUCUGAUAUACUUCUCGCGAAUGCGAUAAAGUACAACUUUCAACAAUGGAUCUCUUGGCUCCAGCAUCGAUGAAGAACGCAGC
rnacentral:misc_RNA from 1 species